ACGGGAGGCAGCGGUGGGGAAUAUUGGGCAAUGGGCGCAAGCCUGACCCAGCGACGCCGCGUGAGGGAAGAAGGUCUUCGGAUUGUAAACCUCUUUCAGCAGGGAAGACAGAAGACGGUACCUGCAGAAGAAGUCACGGCUAACUACGUGCCAGCAGCCGCGGUAAUACGUAGGGAGCAAGCGUUAUCCGGAUUUACUGGGUGUAAAGGGCGUGUAGGCGGGACAUCAAGUCAGAUGUGAAAGCACGAGGCUCAACUUCGUGUCUGCAUUUGAAACUGACGUUCUUGAGUGUUGGAGAGGCUAACGGAACUCCUAGUGUAGCGGUGAAAUGCGUAGAUAUUAGGAAGAACACCAGUGGCGAAGGCGGUUAGCUGGACAAUAACUGACGCUGAGGCGCGAAAGCGUGGGUAGCAAACAGGAUUAGAUACCCUGGUA
rnacentral:rRNA from 1 species